rnacentral:rRNA from 1 species
CCUACGGGUGGCAGCAGUGAGGAAUAUUGGUCAAUGGGCGCGAGCCUGAACCAGCCAAGUAGCGUGAAGGAUGACUGCCCUACGAGUUGUAAACUUCUUUUAUAAAGGAAUAAGGUGAGUCUCGUGUUCCUUUUUGUAUGUACUUUAUGAAUAAGGAUCGGCUAACUCCGUGCCAGCAGCCGCGGUACUACGUUGGAUCCGAGCGUUAUCCGGAUUGAUUGUUUUUAAAGGGAGCGUAGAUGGGUUGUUAAGUCAGUUGUGAAAGUCUGGGGCUCAACCGUAAAAUUGCAAUUGAUACUGGCAGCCUUGAGUACGGUUGAGGAAGGCGGAAUUCGUGGUGUAGGGGUGAAAUGCUUAGAUAUCACGAAGAACUCCGAUUGCGAAGGCAGCCUACUA